CAGUAGCCACGGGAACACGGAGGGUGCAAGCGUUAAUCGGAAUUACUGGGCGUAAAGCGCACGCAGGCGGUCUGUCAAGUCAGAUGUGAAAUCCCCGGGCUUAACCUGGGAACUGCAUUUGAAACUGGCAGGCUAGAGUCUUGUAGAGGGGGGUAGAAUUCCAGGUGUAGCGGUGAAAUGCGUAGAGAUCUGGAGGAAUACCGGUGGCGAAGGCGGCCCCCUGGACAAAGACUGACGCUCAGGUGCGAAAGCGUGGGGAGCAAACAGGAUUAGAUACCCCUGUAGUCCCUGUCUCUUAUAC
rnacentral:rRNA from 1 species